AGCGAACGCUGGCGGCGUGCCUAACACAUGCAAGUCGAACGUGAAAGGGAGCAAUCCCAAGUAAAGUGGCGUACGGGUGAGUAACACGUAGGUAAUCUACCCCAGAAUCUGGAAUAACCGGCCGAAAGGCUGGCUAAUACUGGAUAGAGCGACGGAAUCCGUAAUUGGGUUUUUCGGGAAAGGGAGCCUGUAAAAAGGCCUUCGUUCUGGGAUGAGCCUGCGUCCCAUCAGCUAGUUGGUGAGGUAAAAGCUUACCAAGGCAAUGACGGGUAGCUGGUCUGAGAGGACGAUCAGCCACACUGGAACUGAAACACGGUCCAGACUCCUACGGGAGGCAGCAGUGGGGAAGCUUGCGCAAUGGACGAAAGUCUGACGCAGCAACGCCGCGUGAGGGAAGAAGGCCUUCGGGUUGUAAAGCUCUGUCGAGUGGGACGAAAAUGCUUGGAGUUCACAGCUCCAGGAACUGACGGUACCACUAAAGGAAGCACCGGCUAACUCCGUG
rnacentral:rRNA from 1 species